UGAGUAACCUGCCCUUCACUCUGGGAUAACUCCGGGAAACCGGGGCUAAUACUGGAUAUGACUCGAACAGGCAUCUGUUUCGGGUGGAAAGAUUUAUUGGUGGAGGAUGGACUCGCGGCCUAUCAGCUUGUUGGUGAGGUAAUGGCUCACCAAGGCGACGACGGGUAGCCGGCCUGAGAGGGCGAUCGGCCACACCGGGACUGAGACACGGCCCAGACUCCGUACGGGAGCA
rnacentral:rRNA from 1 species